UAGGGAAUCUUCGGCAAUGGACGGAAGUCUGACCGAGCAACGCCGCGUGAGUGAAGAAGGUUUUCGGAUCGUAAAGCUCUGUUGUAAGAGAAGAACGAGUGUGAGAGUGGAAAGUUCACACUGUGACGGUAUCUUACCAGAAAGGGACGGCUAACUACGUGCCAGCAGCCGCGGUAAUACGUAGGUCCCGAGCGUUGUCCGGAUUUAUUGGGCGUAAAGCGAGCGCAGGCGGUUAGAUAAGUCUGAAGUUAAAGGCUGUGGCUUAACCAUAGUAGGCUUUGGAAACUGUUUAACUUGAGUGCAAGAGGGGAGAGUGGAAUUCCAUGUGUAGCGGUGAAAUGCGUAGAUAUAUGGAGGAACACCACACCGGUGGCGAAAGCGGCUCUCUGGCUUGUAACUGACGCUGAGGCUCGAAAGCGUGGGGAGCAAACAGGAUUAGAUACCCUGGUAGUCCACGCUGUAAACGAUGAGUGCUAGGUGUUAGACCCUUUCCGGGGUUUAGUGCCGUAGCUAACGCAUUAAGCACUCCGCCUGGGGAGUACGACCGCAAGGUUG
rnacentral:rRNA from 1 species